rnacentral:rRNA from 1 species
AGAGUGAACGCUGGCGGUAGGCCUAACACAUGCAAGUCGAGCGGCAGCACAGGAGAGCUUGCUCUCUGGGUGGCGAGUGGCGGACGGGUGAGGAAUACAUCGGAAUCUACCUUUUCGUGGGGGAUAACGUAGGGAAACUUACGCUAAUACCGCAUAAGACCUUCGGGUGAAAGCCGGGGACCUUCGGGCCUGGCGCGGAUAGAUGAGCCGAUGUCGGAUUAGCUUGUGGACGGGUAAAAGCCCACCAAGGCGACGAUCCGUAGCUGGUCUGAGAGGAUGAUCAGCCACACUGGAACUGAGACACGGUCCAGACUCCUACGGGAGCAGCAGGUGGGAAUAGUUGGACAAGU